rnacentral:ribozyme from 1 species
UCCUAGUUAAACCGCUAAUACUUUUUUUUCUUUUUUUUUCUUCUGUCUUGCAACCAAAAGACAAUGCGUAAGGGUAGUAAAAAAGGCAAAGGCGGCCAAAG